rnacentral:lncRNA from 1 species
GUCUAGCUGUUUUCCUGCUACGUCCGAGACAUUUUGGCUCCAUUCAGAGUCUCCUCCUUGACCACCAACCAGAUCUCCAAAGAAAUUUCAGUUCAGAAAAAAAGUUAAGACACCCUGCUGUAGAUGUGGGCUCUUCUUACCAGUUCCAAUACUUUCUUGAACCUCUGUGUAAGCAAUACGGAAAAGAAUGUAUCAGCCAGCAGCUGCAGAAGCUGCUCCCUCAGGAAGAAGUAUGCUAAGUUGUGGAGGGUUCCAGAAGGAGCCAAGCAGUGGUUUAUGGUGAAGGAGGAGAUUUCCACGUCAU